CGGUACUGCUGGCUGCCCCGG
rnacentral:misc_RNA from 1 species